UACGAAGGGGGCUAGCGUUGCUCGGAAUCACUGGGCGUAAAGCGCACGUAGGCGGAUUUUUAAGUCAGUGGUGAAAUCCUGGAGCUCAACUCCAGAACUGCCUUUGAUACUGUGAAACUUGAGUCCGGGAGAGGUGAGUGGAACUCCGAGUGUAGAGGUGAAAUUCGUAGAUAUUCGGAAGAACACCAGUGGCGAAGGCGGCUCACUGGCCCGUUACUGACGCUGAGGCGCGAAAGCGUGGGGAGCAAACAGG
rnacentral:rRNA from 1 species